GAGUGAACACUUCAGUGGUCUGUAGUCCCUCAGUUGCACUGGACACAGUUGAGGCCCUCAGGAGCCACGCGGGGUCAGCGGUGGUGGCAUUGGGCAGAGCAGGUGUAGUGAUUUGGAGAGGGGACAGGCUCAGCAUCAGUAUUUCUGCUGCAUCCCUCUGUAAACAUCUCAUGAAGUGGCUGAUUUGUGAGAAGAGGAUCAUCUACCUCCUGCAUUCAAUCUCAUGAGUAGUUGGGAAGAACAGAUGAAGUGAGGCUGUGAAGCACUGUUGCAAUCUAAGGCACUGCUUAGACAUUGGUUGAGGCUCUAACCCAUGGUCUCCCUGGAGUGGU
rnacentral:lncRNA from 10 species